UACGUAGGGUGCAAGCGUUAAUCGGAAUUACUGGGCGUAAAGCGUGCGCAGGCGGUUUUGUAAGGCUGGCGGUAAAGCCCCGGGCUCAACCUGGGAAUUGCGAUGGAGACUGCAAGGCUUGAAUCUGGCAGAGGGGGGUAGAAUUCCACGUGUAGCAGUGAAGUGCGUAGAGAUGUGGAGGAACACCGAUGGCGAAGGCAGCCCCCUGGGUCAAGAUUGACGCUCAUGCACGAAAGCGUGGGGAGCAAACAGG
rnacentral:rRNA from 1 species